ACACCGAUUCGAUAUUCAAAUAACAUUCUGGCUUUGCAUUUAGGUGACAGAGAUUUUGUAUAAAAACUCGAGCGCCCUUUGGUAAAGUUAUCAAACAGCCUUUACUUUUGUGCAACAAACUCAAACGCAAAAAUGUUCAACUUUUUCAAAGUGCUCGUCGUGAUCGCCGCCUUGGUGUGCAUCGCUGCUGCCAACCCCAGCAUCGUGGGACCCGGCCUCGUCCACGGUCUUGGAGCUGUAGCUGUGGGACCAGUCGGCCCAAUUGUUGGUGUUGGUCAUGGUGGCGUUAUUGGUCAUCCACAUAUACUUGGUUAAAUAGCUGAUUCUAAACUAUACUAAUUGGACUGCCAACAUUCCCCACUGGACAACUCCCUUUGCAGACUUACUCAUCGUUAUUUUUUCGCACCCCACAUCACUUAUGGAACCACGAAUGUUAGGAAUUUCGCAAUUUUAGUAUGUCUUUGUGUCUCGUUCGUUGCAUUGUUGCGUACUCCUUUAUCAAUAUUUUUUUCAAAUACGUAUUUUUAAUUUUAAUUUGAUUUGAAUAAAUAUGCAAUAAAACAAUAGAUAA